rnacentral:rRNA from 1 species
UACGUAGGGGGCAAGCGUUGUCCGGAUUUAUUGGGCGUAAGAGCGUGUAGGCGGCCAAGCAGGUCAGCUGUGAAAACUCGAGGCUCAACCUCGAGACGUCGGUUGAAACCGCUUGGCUAGAGUCCGGAAGAGGAGAGUGGAAUUCCCGGUGUAGCGGUGAAAUGCGCAGAUAUCGGGAAGAACACCCGUGGCGAAGGCGGCUCUCUGGGACGGUACUGACGCUGAGACGCGAAAGCGUGGGGAGCAAACAGGG